UGGGACUGAGACACGGCCCAGACUCCUACGGGAGGCAGCAGUAGGGAAUCUUCGGCAAUGGACGAAAGUCUGACCGAGCAACGCCGCGUGAGUGAAGAAGGUUUUCGGAUCGUAAAACUCUGUUGUUAGAGAAGAACAAGGACGUUAGUAACUGAACGUCCCCUGACGGUAUCUAACCAGAAAGCCACGGCUAACUACGUGCCAGCAGCCGCGGUAAUACGUAGGUGGCAAGCGUUGUCCGGAUUUAUUGGGCGUAAAGCGAGCGCAGGCGGUUUCUUAAGUCUGAUGUGAAAGCCCCCGGCUCAACCGGGGAGGGUCAUUGG
rnacentral:rRNA from 1 species